rnacentral:rRNA from 1 species
GAUGAACGCUGGCGGCGUGCUUAACACAUGCAAGUCGAACGGUGAAGCAGAGCUUGCUCUGUGGUUCCGUGGCGAACGGGUGAGUAACACGUAAGCAACCUGCCCCUGUCUCUGGGAUAAGCGCUGGAAACGGCGUCUAAUACUGGACAUAAGCUGUGACCGCAUGGUCAGCAGUUGGAAAGAUGUUUCGGUCUGGGAUGGGCUCACGGCCUAUCAGCUUGUUGGUGAGGUAAUGGCUCACCAAGGCGUCGACGGGUAGCCGGCCUGAGAGGGUGACCGGCCACACUGGGACUGAGACACGGCCCAGACUCCUACGGGAGGCAGCAGUGGGGAAUAUUGCACAAUAGGCGAAAGCCUGAUGCAGCAACGCCGCGUGAGGGAUGACGGCCUUCGGGUUGUAAACCUCUUUUAGCAGGGAUGAAGCGAAAGUGACGGUACCUGCAGAAAAAGCGCCGGCUAACUACGUG